rnacentral:rRNA from 1 species
CUACGGGGGGCACCAGUGGGGAAUAUUGCACAAUGGGGGAAACCCUGAUGCAGCGACGCCGCGUGAGUGAAGAAGUAUUUCGGUAUGUAAAGCUCUAUCAGCAGGGAAGAAAAUGACGGUACCUGACUAAGAAGCCCCGGCUAACUACGUGCCAGCAGCCGCGGUAAUACGUAGGGGGCAAGCGUUAUCCGGAUUUACUGGGUGUAAAGGGAGCGUAGACGGUUAUGCAAGUCUGGAGUGAAAUCCCGGGGCUCAACCCCGGAACUGCUUUGGAAACUGUAAAACUAGAGUGCAGGAGAGGUAAGUGGAAUUCCUAGUGUAGCGGUGAAAUGCGUAGAUAUUAGGAGGAACACCAGUGGCGAAGGCGGCUUACUGGACUGUAACUGACGUUGAGGCUCGAAAGCGUGGGGAGCAAACAGGAUUAGAUACCCCGGUAGUC